UGGUUUGAUGUUUCUUUUUACCUAGAUGAAUACUUAUAGCACUGAAUUUAUGAAUGUAGAUUUAUAGUAUUGUGUUUUUGAUGUUUACUUAUUGUCGUAAUCUCACGUAUAGGUUGUGUAGAAAUCACUCAAGUCUGCUUUUUAUUAUGGAAGCUCGUUGUAUGUGUAAAAUUAUUUAUACUCUUGGUCCCGGCGCACGGAGCCUACAAAACGCCGAAUGUUCCUGCUGCUGCUUACCAAGCAGGAAAACACCAGAAUAAGUUCAACUUGGGGAAGAGCAUGAAGGUGAUGAACUCGCUCGGCGGCUUGUACCGUGUUUUGUGCUGGAGGAACAUAAAAAUCUCCGUUUCCUCGUUACUUUAUUCUGAUGGUUUAUUUGCCAUAUGUUAGAUUGGCGAGAGGUGGGGUAACAGAAAGAGGCGACGUUAAAAUCGGUGCUAGUGACGACGACGGUAGACACGAUGAGCUUGGCAACAGCGGCUGCCGCAACAUUGUUGUACUUGGAGCCCAUGCUAUCCGAGCUCAACAAUGCCAAUAGCUCAGUCCUUUUGCGUGUUCAUUGACAAGUUGUCGUAAAGUACCUUGGCGUCAACAACCACGGCCAUAAUGACAGAGUCGUGCUGGCCGACUGCCCUGCUUCCAUGCGCCAAGCAAUCUACUGGUUUGAGAAAGGAGUUGUAAGAAGUGUUCCUUAGAAAUUGUACACUAAACUGCUUGCACAUUUUCAUGCAUGUUGGCACUCACCUUGGAGCACAAUUAAAUGGAAAUCAGUAGCAAAAAUACAAUCUGCAUAGUGGUAAUCUAA